CCGAACCGACUAAUGUUGAAAAAUUAGCGGAUGACCUGUGGCUGGGGGUGAAAGGCCAAUCAAACCGGGAGAUAGCUGGUUCUCCCCGAAAGCUAUUUAGGUAGCGCCUCGUGAAUUCAUCUCCGGGGGUAGAGCACUGUUUCGGCUAGGGGGCCAUCCCGGCUUACCAACCCGAUGCAAACUGCGAAUACCGGAGAAUGUUAUCACGGGAGACACACGGCGGGUGCUAACGUCCGUCGUGAAGAGGGAAACAACCCAGACCGCCAGCUAAGGUCCCAAAGUCAUGGUUAAGUGGGAAACGAUGUGGGAAGGCCCAGACAGCCAGGAUGUUGGCUUAGAAGCAGCCAUCAUUUAAAGAAAGCGUAAUAGCUCACUGGUCGAGUCGGCCUGCGCGGAAGAUGUAACGGGGCUAAACCAUGCACCGAAGCUGCGGCAGCGACACUGUGUGUUGUUGGGUAGGGGAGCGUUCUGUAAGCCUGUGAAGGUGUGUCGUGAGGCAUGCUGGAGGUAUCAGAAGUGCGAAUGCUGACAUAAGUAACGAUAAAGCGGGUGAAAAGCCCGCUCGCCGGAAGACCAAGGGUUCCUGUCCAACGUUAAUCGGGGCAGGGUGAGUCGACCCCUAAGGCGAGGCCGAAAGGCGUAGUCGAUGGGAAACGGGUUAAUAUUCCCGUACUUGGUGUUACUGCGAAGGGGGGACGGAGAAGGCUAUGUUGGCCGGGCGACGGUUGUCCCGGUUUAAGCGUGUAGGUGUGUGUUCCAGGUAAAUCCGGUUCACUUUAACACUGAGGCGUGACGACGAGGCACUACGGUGCUGAAGCAACAAAUGCCCUGCUUCCAGGAAAAGCCUCUAAGCAUCAGGUAACAUCAAAUCGUACCCCAAACCGACACAGGUGGUCAGGUAGAGAAUACCAAGGCGCUUGAGAGAACUCGGGUGAAGGAACUAGGCAAAAUGGUGCCGUAACUUCGGGAGAAGGCACGCUGACACGUAGGUGAAGUGAUUUACUCAUGGAGCUGAAGUCAGUCGAAGAUACCAGCUGGCUGCAACUGUUUAUUAAAAACACAGCACUGUGCAAACACGAAAGUGGACGUAUACGGUGUGACGCCUGCCCGGUGCCGGAAGGUUAAUUGAUGGGGUCAGCGCAAGCGAAGCUCCUGAUCGAAGCCCCGGUAAACGGCGGCCGUAACUAUAACGGUCCUAAGGUAGCGAAAUUCCUUGUCGGGUAAGUUCCGACCUGCACGAAUGGCGUAAUGAUGGCCAGGCUGUCUCCACCCGAGACUCAGUGAAAUUGAACUCGCUGUGAAGAUGCAGUGUACCCGCGGCAAGACGGAAAGACCCCGUGAACCUUUACUAUAGCUUGACACUGAACAUUGAGCCUUGAUGUGUAGGAUAGGUGGGAGGCUUUGAAGUGUGGACGCCAGUCUGCAUGGAGCCGACCUUGAAAUACCACCCUUUAAUGUUUGAUGUUCUAACGUGGACCCGUUACCCGGGUUGCGGACAGUGUCUGGUGGGUAGUUUGACUGGGGCGGUCUCCUCCUAAAGAGUAACGGAGGAGCACGAAGGUUGGCUAAUCCUGGUCGGACAUCAGGAGGUUAGUGCAAUGGCAUAAGCCAGCUUGACUGCGAGCGUGACGGCGCGAGCAGGUGCGAAAGCAGGUCAUAGUGAUCCGGUGGUUCUGAAUGGAAGGGCCAUCGCUCAACGGAUAAAAGGUACUCCGGGGAUAACAGGCUGAUACCGCCCAAGAGUUCAUAUCGACGGCGGUGUUUGGCACCUCGAUGUCGGCUCAUCACAUCCUGGGGCUGAAGUAGGUCCCAAGGGUAUGGCUGUUCGCCAUUUAAAGUGGUACGCGAGCUGGGUUUAGAACGUCGUGAGACAGUUCGGUCCCUAUCUGCCGUGGGCGCUGGAGAACUGAGGGGGGCUGCUCCUAGUACGAGAGGACCGGAGUGGACGCAUCACUGGUGUUCGGGUUGUCAUGCCAAUGGCACUGCCCGGUAGCUAAAUGCGGAAGAGAUAAGUGCUGAAAGCAUCUAAGCACGAAACUUGCCCCGAGAUGAGUUCUCCCUGAGACUUAAAGUCUCCUGAAGGAACGUUGAAGACGACGACGUUGAUAGGCCGGGUGUGUAAGCGCAGCGAUGCGUUGAGCUAACCGGUACUAAUGAACCGUGAGGCUUAACCUUACAACGCCGAAG
rnacentral:rRNA from 1 species